AGCAGCCGCGGUAAUUCCAGCUCCAAUAGCGUAUAUUAAAGUUGUUGCAGUUAAAAAGCUCGUAGUUGAAUUUCGGGAUUGACGUGAUGGUCAUGCCUUAAGGGGUAUGAACUGUUACUGUUGAUUUCUCACCUUCUGGAGAAACUUGAUGUCCUUUAUUGGGUGUCUUGCGGAUCCAGGACCUUUACCUUGAAAAAAUUAGAGUGUUUAAAGCAGGCAUUUUUGCUCGAAUACAUUAGCAUGGAAUAAUAGAAUAGGACGGCAUGGUUCUAUUUUGUUGGUUUCUAGGAUCACCGUAAUGAUUAAUAGGGAUAGUUGGGGGCAUUAGUAUUCAAUUGUCAGAGGUGAAAUUCUUGGAUUUAUUGAAGACUAACUACUGCGAAAGCAUUUGCCAAGGAUGUUUUCAUUAAUCAAGAACGAGAGUUAGGGGAUCGAAGACGAUCAGAUACCGUCGUAGUCUUAACCAUAAACUAUGCCGACUAGGAAUCAGACGAUGUUAAUUUUUUAAUGACUCGUUUGG
rnacentral:misc_RNA from 2 species